CGCCGGGGUCCGCUUAACCGUUAAGGGCGCGCGGUGGGAGAGGCGAGCCUCGGGCCGGGCACCAGCCAGACGCCAGGAGAACCCAAACGGACGGCGGGCGCCAGGCCGUUACUUGCGAGGGUUCGCGGGGCUGCGCUCGCGUGCCGUUCCUGGGCGUUGACUGCCGCUAACGCCAAAGCCAACACCAACGCCUCGGACGCCGCCGAAGGGCCACGGCGAAUUUGAGUACCCGACCUUGACUGCCUGCCCCGGGCCUGCGCUGCUCCUGGGCCGAGGGGUAGGGACGUGGAAACUUCUGGAGAACCUCUGGUGUCAGGGGCUGGUGACAGGCAGAGAACUGGCUGCACGCAGGGCCAGCUCGCCCAAGCUUUGGUUUCUGAACCUGAUCCAGGAAGAGUUCUGGCUGAGGUCGUGGUGGACUCCGUGGAGAAUGCCCGGAUGCAGGAGCGUUAGCCCGCAGCACCGUUCUCUUGGUCAUGCAGUAGGUAUGGAUUAGCUCUUAGGCUGCCCACAGGCUGUUGAAACAGGAGGAUGUGCUGGCAUAUGGCCAGGUGAGACCUGGUGGUGUUUUCAUACCCUCUGAGACCAAGUUGGCCCAGGUGUGGCUGGCAGAACACUUACCCAUCUGUCAGGUGAGUUCUGCCUUAUUUGGAAAUGAAUGUGGCAAAUGGGUUGGACAUUGUGCAGUUUGGUUGGGACACCAGAUACCCAAGAGGAGUAUUCUUCACCUUCCUGCUUAGAGCUCUGGAGGCAGCAGGUUAAAACUCUGGGUCACUGGGACCCAUGACAGAUCUGGGCUAAGUCUCUGGCUCUUGGCCUCCAUCUGGGGCUGUUACAGGUGUGUGGGCAGGAAACUAGUGGAUUCCCAAGAAACCAUCUCAGUCACAGAGCUUCCCGUGUCGGGAAAUUCUCCAUAGUGAUUCAAGUGACUGUGGCUCCAACACCAGUGGUCCUGCCAGGUUCACUCCCCCGAGGUUCGGGAAGCGUGAAAAAAACGUCAUCUCUGUGUUAGGACGACACCUGCCAAGAGACCAGUGUCAAAUGGUAUUACAGUUGGUCCUUCCUGGAAACCAAGUUUACGAAUGAAUAGGUGGAGCAACCAAAAAUGUGAUGUAUAU